CAGGGACCUCGCUAAUACCUCCAAGUCCAGAAGGAAAACGUGUUCUAACUCUGCCUGUGUAACCUCCUGAGGGCUCAUGGUACUGCUACAGUGUCUGUAGGAUUAAAGGAUUGUUUGAACUGAGCAAAAGACAAGGACUGCCUAAGUGUUUUUGAAUUGUUUUGGAGCAACCUGCAAUCCCUGUCAGGUGACCUCCCUCUUCGGGAGUUUUGUACUGUAGCUCAAUAAACUUUGCUUUGCUGCCUCCCUCCACACACACAAAAGAAAGAAGACUUAGGGGUGAUGGAGAACAUUCUCUGGCCAGGAUGACUUAGUGCUGCAAUUCAAGCUUGAAGAGACAGAGCACUCCUGACAAGAUGCUAGAGAGAUACCUGGAACAGCCAUGGGUAUGUGGCUUCCUGACUCACUCAGAAGCACUUUGGAAACAGAGAACAUGGUGGGAUGAUGGUGGUGGUGGGCAGGAAUACGAGAAGGAUGGAAUGGACACAUGUGAAGAGCAAUAACUCCACUCACAGACCUUUUUUAGUUUGCUAAAGCUGCUGAGAUCAGUAGGGGUAGUCAGCAGAGAAGGAUUUGGGCCACGCUCCUCUCUUGGCUCCUGAUACUUCCUUAGCUUGUGUCAACAUAACUUCAAUCUUCUUAUGGCAUUCUUCUUAGGUGUGUCUGUGUCCAAAUUUCUCUGUUAUAUGAGGACAUUGGUCAUAUUGAAUUAGGGGCCCAUCCUUUGCCAGUAUGAUCUCAUCUUAACUAAUGCAUUUACAUUCCCUAUUUCCAAAUAAGGUCACAUUCUGAGAUUGAGGAUGAGGACCUCAACAUAUGAAUUUGGGGGUAAUAAAAUUAUUUUUUAAAGAUUUUAUUUAUUUAUU
rnacentral:lncRNA from 12 species